UCCUCAUUACAGAUGCUUAGACGCAAAAUAACCAGACCGUUGACGUUCUUUCGGUUAUAUUGUGACCAUACCUAUUCUGCAUCAAGCACUUUUUCUCAAUCAGGGGGGACGACAGCAAAGAGGUUUGAGAAAUUCUAGCGCUCCAUCAGACUGCAAAGCAAACUCGCUGCAAAGACAUUCACUAACUUUAAUAUUUUUCAUUUCUGCGUAAUUCUCAAGAAAGUUCCUGAGUUUUUUUUUUUUCGAUUUCUAGACUGAGUUUCAAAUCAGUAUCAUAGCAUCGCUACUACAUAGAAUGUUACUCCAAGUAGGGGCCGUUUGAAUCUGUGGAGCUGAAAAUUCAGUACUUGUCAACUGCUUAUUAUUGCUAGCAAAAUUGAUACCCGUGAAUCACUACACGAUCAUGUUGCUGCUUUCUUACGUAAGCAAAAUGAUCUUAGCAAUUCCAGUAGGUGGGUUAAAAGAUUGCCUAUUGCACGAGAUCGUGAAGUCCGAUUCGGGAAUUGCUUCGGGAACGCUCGUUGCUGGUAAUGCAGUUUGCGCCAAUGUCAAAGAAACGCAAAAAAAAACAACGAAUACACCGAGCCUGACCCGCAGGCGUGCGGUGAUUAGCAGUUAUAGCAGCACAUGCGCACAAAUGGACGGCGAGAGAGCGAUUUUCCAUUUGGCGAAGACGCAAAACUCGGCGCACCUCCUUCGCUGCAUUCGAACUGUUGGCCGCAUGCUGCCGGCGAGCCAAGAUAGCGCGCGGUGUUUUCUGGUCGAACCGCUACGGCGGCUCCGGUGCCAGCGCAACCACAGCGCGUUCCGAUAUAGUUGUCCUAUCUGUAGGAUCGUAGGGUCCUAAGCGGCCGUGGAGUGCGUGGUUACGCGGCGCGCGACCGAGCCCGAAGCGCCGAGAGAACGUGCCCGAGCCUGCGGGCUUUAGCCUGGGCGUGCUCACGGUCACUGCGGCUGUGCUACUCGGCAUCCCGUUCUCGGCGAGCAACGACUGGCGCCGAUGAACACACUGGGACGUGUCCGGAAAAGUCGCCCCGUCUCUGGUGCCGCAGCGAGGCGUCCAGCGGCGCCGAACCUGCCCUGGGAUUGACUGCAUUGGAGAAUACUUCCGCUUACUGGUGUUCAUGCAAGAGUGAUAAGCGACAGCCGCUUUUUCCCGUGCUGUCUUGGCUUCAGGGACAACAGGGAGACUCUCGAGGAUUUCUGCAAGAAAAUGGCAAGGACGGGAACGCAUUUCUUGCAAGGCCCAUCUAACUUCAUCGCUGACUAUUGAAGGAGCCUCAGUAUCGUGUUGAUCACUACUUCCAAUAAAGGUUGUGUGGCUACAGCUACGUAUACAGGCAAGCGGAAGUUAUCGUUCGAGUCUCGUUGUCUUGUUUCCUGACAAAAGCGCGUGGUUGCGCCCUGCGAAAUGGCACUGAAGUGACUGCUGGGGCAAGCAUACAACGGCCUUGCUUGGCGACAUCCCGUCGGAGGU